AACGAACGUUGGCGGCGUGGCUUAGGCAUGCAAGUCGUACGAGUUUCAUCUGGGUAUCUGGAUGAAAAAAGUGGCGAAAGGGGCAGUAAGGCAUGGAUAAUCUACGCUGAUGACCGGGAUAGCUGUCCCAACGGGCAGGUAAUAACGGAUAAGCUUGUGGGGCCGCAUGGUUCUGCCAGGAAAGGCGCAAGCCGUGUCGGGAGGAAUCCAGGUGAUAUUAGCUAGUUGGUGAGUUAAAGGCUCACCAAGGCGAAGAUGUCUAGCGGCUGUGAGAGCACGACGAGAGCCAUUGGCACUGAGACACUGGCCAGAGUACGACGGGAGGCUGCAGUCGAGGAUCUUCGGCAAUGGGAGAAAGCCUGACCGAGCGAGGCCGCGUGAGCGAUGAAGGCCAUUAGGUUGUAAAGCUCUGUCGAGGGGGAACAAGCCGCAAGGUUGAGUGAUCCCUGGAGGAAGCACGGGCUAAGUUCGUG
rnacentral:rRNA from 1 species